rnacentral:tRNA from 1 species
GCCGCCGUAGCUCAGCAGGCAGAGCGCCGGCCUUGUAACGACUUUAACUCUUGCGCGGGAGAGCCGGUGGUCGCGGGUUCAAGUCCCGCCGGCGGCU